UACGUAGGGUGCAAGCGUUAAUCGGAAUACUGGGCGUAAAGCGUGCGCAGGCGGUUAUGUAAGACAGUUGUGAAAUCCCCGGGCUCAACCUGGGAACUGCAUCUGUGACUGCAUAGCUAGAGUACGGUAGAGGGGGAUGGAAUUCCGCGUGUAGCAGUGAAAUGCGUAGAUAUGCGGAGGAACACCGAUGGCGAAGGCAAUCCCCUGGACCUGUACUGACGCUCAUGCACGAAAGCGUGGGGAGCAAACGAGG
rnacentral:rRNA from 1 species